CAGCAUUCCUAUGGCAGGAGGCUAGAUUGGACCGAGUCAUGUACGUUCGAAAUGACGUGAGAUUGAGUUAGGCCGAGUCAUAUUCGAAGUGGCGUGAGCUGGUUAGACUGAGUCACAAUCGAGACCCGUAGAUGCUAUAUCUAUAUGCUUUAAAGUGAAUUGGUUGUAUCCUUCUAACAGCUUGAGCUUUGAAAUUAAUGGUUAGCGCCAACGAUCCAACCAACCGUAGUCCUACUCAACUUAUUGGGCCCAUCCAACUCAAUUUAUUAGUCUCCUAAAUCUAUUAUCACGAGACAGAAAGUACGUUGGACCUAUUUUGGUCAGUAAUAAAUAACCAACAGAACUAAAAAUAAUUUUUAAUUUAAUUGCAAAAUCAGUUACGGACAAACAAAGAU
rnacentral:lncRNA from 1 species